UACGUAGGGACCAAGCGUUGUUCGGAUUUACUGGGCGUAAAGGGCGCGUAGGCGGCAAUUCAAGUCAUCUGUGAAAUCUCCGGGCUUAACUCGGAACGGUCAGGUGAUACUGCUUUGCUAGAGUGCGGAAGGGGCAAUCGGAAUUCUCGGUGUAGCGGUGAAAUGCGUAGAUAUCGAGAGGAACACCUGAGGUGAAGACGGGUUGCUGGGCCGACACUGACGCUGACAGCGCGAAAGCCAGGGGAGCAAACGGG
rnacentral:rRNA from 1 species